rnacentral:rRNA from 1 species
UACGAAGGGGGCGAGCGUUGUUCGGAUUUACUGGGCGUAAAGGGCGCGUAGGCGGCCUGCUAAGUCGAACGUGAAAUCCCUGGGCUCAACCCAGGAACUGCGUCCGAUACUGGUUGGCUUGAAUUCGGGAGAGGGAUGUGGAAUUCCAGGUGUAGCGGUGAAAUGCGUAGAUAUCUGGAGGAACACCGGUGGCGAAGGCGGCAUCCUGGACCGAUAUUGACGCUGAUGCGCGAAAGCCAGGGGAGCAAACGGG